AAAAUCCUACACAAAGAGAGCCUCCUGUGCUUGCUCUGGAAGUGGGCCAUGGUCCAAAGUCCUUUGUGGGAGCACAAUGAGCCCGUGCCUCUGUGCUGAGGAGGGAUUGUUGCUCCAUCUGCCACCUGGAAUGGCAUACCUGGUGUAGCAGAAGGGUUGCAUCUGUCAGCACCUGUGAAGUGAAUAUUUGGGGUUGUGCACAGUUAGAGGCAGGCAGUGGGUGUAGCUGCUGACCUUCACGUUUGGCCCUUUUCCAAGGCCUUCUCCCCAGUUUGUCCUGCCUGCUUCAAAUCCAAGGAGUUCCUUGUGCCUGGGCAUUACACUUAUGUCUAGUAGUCAUCCACUUGGUUUCCUUUGGAGACCAUGGAGUUGCUGGCCUUUGCUGAUGAUUAGUUGCCCUUUGGGGCAGCAAUCAAAACAGCUUUCCCUUACUGCUGCUUUUGUGGUUUUGGCUUAACCAGCACUAACAGUGAGUGAGGGGUAACUAGAGUUAAAGCAACUCUUAAAUUUCACCUUGUUGUCUCAUUCCAAGCAGGCCUGAAGAGCACUGAGAGGCAACACUAUUUUCACUGAGCCUCUGGAAUGAAACGUAUGUUGUGUGAGGCUAUGAGAGAAGGAGCAGCCUGCUCCCAUACAAAAAGUGUCUGUAGCAUCACUUGUUGCUGUAGGCUCUCAAAGUGCCUUGGAUGUUCUGGUUCCACUGGAGAGCAGUAUUUUUCUACAUUUCUCAUCCGUAAUUCCUGGGAUGGGAAUGAUGCUUCUGCUAGAAUGCAGGAGUGUGGUCAUUUCUGGUAGCAUAUUCAGUGACCCCAGAGGACUCAGUUGCUUUUGUGCCUGGAGGAGAUCCAUUCUGGAAGAGAUCCUUCUGCUAAACUGGUAAUGUUGUGUAAAGCAUCAGGUUUCCCACAAAGAUCAAAACUCUGACUCAGAUUAAUUAAAAACCUAUUUGCAAGUGCACAUGCAAGGGUCCAUUUUCCCUUCCAGAGUAUUUCAAUGAAAAUUGGAUGUCUGAUUAAUCUUAUCCUGGUUCCCCCCCUUUUUUUUUAUUUCCCUUAAUGAUCCUGCUGCUGUGAAUAACUGGCAGUGUUGCAUUUUUUUCAGGAUGCAGCAGAUUUUCUAUCUUGCAGAUUUUCUAGCUUACAAAUUUCAAGACAAAAUGCCUUUCUUCUGGAAUGAAGGUGCCAUAUGGCUUGAAAUGCAUAAUUGAUCACUGCUCAAAAUAGAAGCUUCAUCGAAAGUCACCUAGAAGUCCAAUGCAUGUGUGCAGGGGACUUAAUAGACCUUGAUGCAUUUUUUGUUUCCUGAGACUGAUGAUGAUACAGGGACAGGUUUUUAUGGCUCCUCUUAGAGGUUCUGAUGCUUGUGCUCUCAUUAUUCCAGGAGAUCUUGGGAGUUGCAUUAGGAGGUGCAUCAAUCUUAUGCUUGCUGAUCCCUGCUGGGCUUGGCUGGAUGAAAAACACCCCAGACAAGCCUGGCAUUCACCAUAUAGCCCAACAAAGGCCACAGUUGUAUCUGUGAGUGUAAAACAGUUCAGUUGAUCAAAUCUGGUGGGCUGAAUCCAGCCCUUGGUGCCCCAUAUUUCCCACCUCCAGUGGGAUGCCUCCACAAGCAGCCUGUCCCAGCUCCCACACAGAGUGAGGUAGGUUCCUACUGAUGUGGGAGGGAUGUUGGGGGUCCAUCUGGCUGUGUGCCCUGCUUCCUGGUAAUGAGCAACACCUUAGACCACCCAGUAUUGUGGAUGCUUUUCUGUUCUGGUCCUUAUGAAUUAUGGCAAACUCUGAUAGGAAGAGUGGUGGGAAGUUGCCUUGAAAAAAGAGAGCAGAGCAGGAAAGAAAGCGAGGAGACUACCCAGAAUGAUCCAGGCUUUUCAAUUCACCUUGAUAGGUUUAAAAAGCGGGCAGUGGAGGUGCUUCUGCAGCCCCUUUGGGCAACUGAGUCCUUUGUCUAUUUUAGUAACCUUCAAGGAGCUGACAGCUCUGAUUUCUGGAGGAUUUCUAGUUUUCUCACUGCUAGCAAGUCCUGCUCAGCAAGAACCUGCUCACACACCCAGUUCUGCUCCUGCUUGCAGAGCUGCUAAUCAAGGAUAGCACGUGGGAAGGCAGCCACAUGGGAGGGGGUGCUCUGUGAGGGAGUCAGGCCCGGUUUUGUUUGCUCAAUUUACAUUUCUCUGUUAUUAAAUCAUGUUCUGGGUUUCAGCAGGGUUUGUAAGCACUGAAUCUCUCCUUAGUGGACAAAGUAGGAGAAUGAUAGCACUACAGAAUCUGGGACACCAGGAUAGCCCUGAGGAUUUGAUGUGAUGCUGUGUGCUGCAGCCAUCUGCUGCCAAUCUACCAAGGACCUUUCCCCUCCGGGUUGCACUGGCAGCCCCAGGUAGCAUGGCUGGAUGGAUGGUCCAAAGCAUUUCAUCACACUGAGGAAGCCAGUUUUGGGGCAGGCAGACUCAAAGGGGAAAAGAAAUCCUGCUGCCACUCAGGAUUGCAGAGAAGCUGCGGAUCAGAUCAGUGCUGAGAAAAUUGCUGGUAACUCAGGAUGCCAAACUAGGCAGGAGCAAAGCCCCCCAGUGAUAAAUGAGCCUUCACUGCCCCAUGAACAAGCACCAAGCAGGAAAUCCCAGGGGUGUAAUGAGGCUGGCUGCUUGCAGCUCUGGGAUUGCCUCCCUUGGCUUUUGCUCUUUAGUGUGGAGAUGGGAGUUAGGCUGUGCUGUAAACCCCUGGAUGUAGCAGGUUGUCUUUAACCCCUCGUCCUCAUCACCCAUCACUGUGGCCCAGCCCAUAGGGAGCACACACUCCAGGGUGUGCCUGUUGUUUGGCACAUCUCUGUGCAUGCUCAGAGUGGUUGCUAAGGCAGCAUAAGUCUGUCCCCUUUCUCUGUGCCUUCAAAUGUCUGUCUGAUCUAGAGGUAUAGUUGUACUGUGUCAGUGCAGCCCCAUCCCAGAGCAGUAUCCAUAUGGGAGAGCAGAGGCAAUGCCACGGGUCAGGUGUUAACAGUCUGUGUGCACAGACAUCAGUGUGAGUGGUACAGGAGAGUGGAGUGUGGGCUUCAGUUUAGUUCUCCCCCUCCCCAAACUGUGCUGCAGAGUCUGGUGGGAAAGAGGAACUAUCCACUGCCACCUACAAUGACACAGCAUGGAGGUGAACAACCUGACAGGAGAUGCAUCCUGAGCUCUGUGUGAGAGAUGCUCAGCAUGUGCAAGGGCAGCACAGAGAUGUUACAGGAACCAGGUCACUGCAGGGCUCUGGUGACAGGAGGUGUGUGAGUUCUGGUCAAAGGGACAGAGAUACUGAGUUCACUGGCUGGUGAAAAAGAACCAGGUAGGUGAAAAAUGAGAGCGUGUCUGGAACAUCUCCCUCCAUCCUUCCAGCAUGCAUGGCAGGAGACUUGCAGGUGUGGUGGUGCCAGCCAGAAGGACUCAUUUGAACACAGAGAUGUCUGGAUUGAUGGCUUUAUUUCAGCUUAUUUUAGCAAGUAAUAGGCAGGGGGGGUGAUGUUUAUCACUGAAACUGGAGCUGGCUGUACUUUAGAUCACAGCUCUAAUCGGUUAGACUGACUUGGACAGUAAAUCACUUCAGCAGCACUAAUAACACAGAGUGACAGGUGUACUAAACCCUCUAUUGCAGCAAUAACCUGGUCCUGCUGGUUCUUUCACUCGGGUUAGUGCUUCUGCUGUGGUUUGUUUAUUAAAGCUCCUUCACAAAAGUCACCUGGGUGGCUGCUCUGACUCAGCCAUUGAAAUGGCUGUUCUCCUGCCAUUCCCCAACCUGGCUUCGGCUCUUUUUAUAGCCUGCUAUAAAAUUGUUUAUUUUUGCACCUGUUUAGAAAGGCUUUUUGGCCACAGGGGUCUCAUGAUGUUGUUUUCAUGGCUUCUGGAGCAGGGCUGCUCUGUUGUUGCUAGAAAUAAUUGCUGUUAAUUAAUUCUUUGCUGAUUUUUCUUUGGCAAAGCAUACUGAAAUAAGCAGAGAAGUGAGCAGCAUGCUCUGUGUCUUGAUGUUGUGGGAGCUUUUAGGAGGCAUGCAGUGACAUCCAAACAAUCCCAUCAGCAGCCAGAGGAAGAGUAGGACACAGUCCUCAACUUUCUGUGGACAAAGUUAAUUGGGGGGAGGCUGAAUUACCAUCUCCAGCUGUUUGGCAGCUUCCUUCAAGCCAUAAUUUUUAAUCUCUUUCUAGAGAAAAACCACAGCCUUGUUUCCAUCUAAUGCUUUAUUCAAAUCACAGUUGAGCAAUGUUACAGAAAAUUAUGUGGUCUCAGCUCUCUGAGCUGGACCAGCAGCUGAAGGCAGCAGCCUAUGACAAGAGACUGACUGCAGGGGCCAAUAACUGCACCAUUUUCUUUUCUGUGCCCUUUUAAAAUGGUUUGUUCUUUUUUUUCUGAAGGACUUUCAGACCAGAAAUGAAGUGCUGGGCUUCAGCCCCUCUGACCUGUGGUCAUGCCUGUAUCAUCUCCAUCAUUCUCUUUGCACUGGGCUCCUGGCAGGAUCAGCCACUGCUUCCCAGGAACCCAGAGCUGGCAGCAGCUGGCUGGGCCACUUCUGUCCCCACCCUGGAAUGGGGACAUCAUGCAGCCCUGUCUCUUGCUUGAAUGUCUCCAAGCUGUUCCUGGAAGAAUGAGCCAUUUGAGCCAGGAAGAGAUUAAAUUAUUGGAAUUGAGCAAAAGCAAUUUCCAUGAGGAUCUCUGUGUGCAUGAUGUUACCUCCACGACUAUUAAAUCACCAGAACAAAGGACUCCCCAUCUUUCACACUGGUAACACUGGGCUGCAACAGAGUUAACCACUAUGCAAAUGGAAUGAAACCCUGACCUGCAAAACACUCUGCAGUGAGGAAACCAAAACUGCAACGGAAAUGAGCUGCUGUAGCAUAGGUGCAGCUGGCCAGUGCUGUAGCUUGUUCACACAAACCUCCAGCUGCAAAAGCUGCCUCCCCUGUGGUGCUGAGGAAGCCUAAAGGAUCCAGCCUGGUGUAUCUGCUACUCCAGAGUUUUGCUUGAAUGCAGUUGCAGUGGCAUGAAUUAUUGAUAUCUCUGUUCAGGUUUGCUGUUCACGCAGGAAUCUGUAAUGCUUCCCCACCUUACGCUGUGAAUGCGCUCCCGGGUCACAUAAAGGGUUGUGUUUAACACCC